AACAACAUGGUACGCGAGGAAGCGUAUGAAUCAUCCUGGCGAUCUUUAGAAGAACGUUAGAAGAAUACAAGAGAACGAUGAUGAAGAAGAAAAAGCAGAUGAAAAAGAAGAAGAAGAGGAGUACGAAGUGAUUUCCCUCUACGGACAUCCGCAAGCUGCACGUUCGUGCGUAAUGGCCCUAGGGGAGACAGGUGCAAGGACGAAGAGGAAACGCUCGAUGCAGCUGUCGCACGGUGACAAGUCAACACGGUCUAUGGAAGAAGAGUUUGAGAGGUUCCUAAGUCGUUUUCUUAAUUGCACCAUUAAUACUCGACGUAACGGCUCACGGGAAAAGGUGGAAGCAAACUCGGCUCUUCGUCGCAGCUACGUUUUAGUCAACUUUAAAGAACUUCUUUACUGAGAAUUCACCGUGAGAAUGGAACGUACAAUAAAAUUGUUUGUCACUUUACCGGAGAACUUGGUCUUGACGAGCUCGUCGACAGCUAGAGUUAAUUAUUAUUAAUUUCAACUCAACGAAGAAACUAAAAGGGCUGUUACUUUCUCAAGGCUAUAUCUACGAAAACCAACACUCCGAAGUUCAUAUUUGGAUGAUCACUUAUGUGUUCGUACAUUUAAUAAUUUUCUUUUGACAAUCAAUCUGUCAACAUAUUUGGUUGCUGACGUUCGAACGAUUUCUCUCGAAUAUUCAUGUUAAAACAAUUACGACAGGAUGUUUGCCUAUUCACUUGAAUUUUGUAAUGAUCGUUUCGAGUAAGUUGAUGUUUAGUAAUCGUCGAUUUAAUACUCGUUAUCUUAAGUCAAUAAUUUACGUUCUUACGAUCUAAGUCUACGAACUUUCUGAAUAACAAGUAUAUAACAAAAGUCCAUUUACAAAUUACCUUUCGAAAUCGAAGUAAAAGGAACAGAUAUGAAAGGCAUUAACAAAUUCGUUUGCUAUCUAAUCCAUAUAAAAACGAUGAGUCGACGACAAGAUUACGAAUAAAUUUCAACUUUCACAUAUCGUACUUGUUGCAUUAUUAUACUAUAAAUAAUAAACAAAUAGAAUAUUCGCAUGGUAUAGAAAAAAGAAAAAUAACAUAUCUCCAUAUCAUAAACUCAAAUAAUGAAAUAUUAAACAUAAAUAAAAAUAGGACGAUUGCAAAAUGGUUGUCUACCAGUUUUGGUAAGCAAACGAGAGGAAGGCUUUUGCAUGCCUUCGAGAGAUCGUGGGUCGAACAAGGUGGAACAACGAGAGCCAGAAUUCGUACGUCUUUGGUUAGCCAUUUAUGGUAGGAAGAAAUGUUGUGCAAGUUUGAGCAUGAGUCGAAAGACCCCAAGUGGUUGUUGUUGACGUGUUGAG
rnacentral:lncRNA from 1 species